rnacentral:lncRNA from 1 species
CCUUGUGGAGCUAUGAUCCUUCUCAAAAGUCUGUAGCAACCUCAACAGACCAUGGUAGUUGACUACAGGCUUCAUCAUUCGAAAAUAACUGAGAAAUGAAGGUAGGAUUUGGGUAGGGAGUUUAGGAUCACAUCCUUCCCAAGCUGUUCGUACAAGAGAAAGUCGAGCUUGCUCAAUCGCUCGAUCUAUUCGAUCAUGAUCAGUGAUCGAUGCUUCCUCCAUCAUCCGAGCAUUGAAAAUGGCAUAACUAGUCUUAUGUCGCUCAACAUCGUCGGAAGUACCAAAAGACUCUCUCAAUACUUUGGGCAUAUCUUU